rnacentral:rRNA from 1 species
GAUGAACGCUGGCGGCGUGCCUAAUACAUGCAAGUCGAGCGAACAGACGAGGAGCUUGCUCCUCUGACGUUAGCGGCGGACGGGUGAGUAACACGUGGAUAACCUACCUAUAAGACUGGGAUAACUUCGGGAAACCGGAGCUAAUACCGGAUAAUAUAUUGAACCGCAUGGUUCAAUAGUGAAAUACGGUUUUUCUGUCACUUCUAGCUGGAUCCGCGCCGCAUUAGCUAGUUGGUAAGGUAAAGGCUUACCAAGGCAACGAUGCGUAGCCGACCUGAGAGGGGGAUAGGCCACAUGGGAGCUGAGACACGGUCAAGACUCCUACGGGAGGCAGCAGUAGGCAAUCUUCCGCAAUGGGCGAAAGCCUGACGGAGCAACGCCGCGUGAGUGAUGAAGGUCUUCGGAUCGUAAAACUCUGUUAUUAGGGAAGAACAAAUGUGUAAGUAACUGUGCACGUAUUGACGGUACCUAAUCAGAAAGCCACGGCUAACUACGUG